CCCUUAGAUGUCCUGGGCCGCACGCGCGCUACACUGAUGCAUGCAACGAGUUUAUAACCUUGGCCUGAAAGGUCUGGGUAAUCUUUUGAACGUGCAUCGUGAUAGGGAUAGAUUAUUGCAAUUGUUAAUCUUGAACGAGGAAUUCCUAGUAAACGCGAGUCAUCAGCUCGCAUUGAUUACGUCCCUGCCCUUUGUACACACCGCCCGUCGCACCUACCGAUUGAAUGGUUCGGUGAGGAUCUCGGACUUCGAUAUUUAUUCUUUAUUGAGUUUAUAUUGUGGGAAGUUAUCUAAACCUCAUCAUUUAGAGGAAGGUGAAGUCGUAACA
rnacentral:rRNA from 1 species